UACGUAGGGUGCAAGCGUUAAUCGGAAUUACUGGGCGUAAAGCGUGCGCAGGCGGUUUUGUAAGUCUGACGUGAAAUCCCCGGGCUCAACCUGGGAAUUGCGUUGGAGACUGCAAGGCUAGAAUCUGGCAGAGGGGGGUAGAAUUCCACGUGUAGCAGUGAAAUGCGUAGAGAUGUGGAGGAACACCGAUGGCGAAGGCAGCCCCCUGGGUCAAGAUUGACGCUCAUGCACGAAAGCGUGGGGCGCAAACAGG
rnacentral:rRNA from 1 species